UACGUAGGUGGCGAGCGUUGUCCGGAUUUACUGGGCGUAAAGGGCGUGCAGGCGGUUUGUUAAGUGCAGGGUGAAAGCUCCCGGCUCAACUGGGAGAGGUCCCUUGCAUACUGGCGAACUCGAGGGAGGCAGAGGAAGUGGAAUUCCCGGUGUAGUGGUGAUAUGCGUAGAUAUCGGGAGGAACACCUGUGGCGAAGGCGGCUUCUGGGCCUUACCUGACGCUGAGACGCGAAAGCGUGGGGAGCGAACCGGAUUGAGAAACCC
rnacentral:rRNA from 1 species